AACGAACGCUGGCGGCAGGCCUAACACAUGCAAGUCGAACGCCCCGCAAGGGGAGUGGCAGACGGGUGAGUAACGCGUGGGAACCUACCUCAAGGUACGGAACAACCAAGGGAAACUUUGGCUAAUACCGUAUGUGCCCGAGAGGGGAAAGAUUUAUCGCCUUGGGAUGGGCCCGCGUCGGAUUAGCUAGUUGGUGAGGUAACGGCUCACCAAGGCGACGAUCCGUAGCUGGUCUGAGAGGAUGACCAGCCACACUGGGACUGAGACACGGCCCAGACUCCUACGGGAGGCAGCAGUGGGGAAUAUUGGACAAUGGGCGCAAGCCUGAUCCAGCCAUGCCGCGUGUGUGAUGAAGGCCUUAGGGUUGUAAAGCACUUUCGCCGAUGAAGAUAAUGACGGUAGUCGGAGAAGAAGCCCCGGCUAACUUCGUGCCAGCCGCCGCCGUAAG
rnacentral:rRNA from 1 species